rnacentral:rRNA from 1 species
AUUGAACGCUGGCGGCAGGCCUAACACAUGCAAGUCGAACGAGUGGCGGACGGGUGAGUAAUGUCUGGGAAACUGCCCGAUGGAGGGGGAUCACUACUGGAAACGGUAGCUAAUACCGCAUACCAUGAGAUGUGCCCAGAUGGGAUUAGCUAGUAGGUGGGGUAACGGCUCACCAAGGCGACGCUCCCUAGCUGGUCUGAGAGGAUGACCAGCCACACUGGAACUGAGACACGGUCCAGACUCCUACGUGAGGCAGCAGUGGGGAAUAUUGCACAAUGGGCGCAAGCCUGAUGCAGCCAUGCCGCGUGUAUGAAGAAGGCCUUCGGGUUGGAAAGUACUUUCAGCGGGGAGGCGUUACCCGCAGAAGAAGCACCGGCUAACUCCGUGCCAGCAGCCGCGGUAAUAC